UACGAAGGGGGCUAGCGUUGUUCGGAAUCACUGGGCGUAAAGCGCACGUAGGCGGACUCUUAAGUCGGUGGUGAAAUCCUGGAGCUCAACUCCAGAACUGCCUUUGAUACUGAAAGUCUUGAGUAUGGGAGAGGUGAGUGGAACUGCGAGUGUAGAGGUGAAAUUCGUAGAUAUUCGCAAGAACACCAGUGGCGAAGGCGGCUCACUGGCCCAUAACUGACGCUGAGGCACGAAAGCGUGGGGAGCAAACAGG
rnacentral:rRNA from 1 species